rnacentral:rRNA from 1 species
AGAGUUUGAUCCUGGCUCAGAUUGAACGCUGGCGGCAUGCCUAACACAUGCAAGUCGAACGGUAACAGGCCGCUGGGAUCCCUUCGGGGUGACCUUGGCGCUGACGAGUGGCGGACGGGUGAGUAAUGCAUGGGAAUCUGCCUCGUAGUGGGGGAUAACCCGGGGAAACCCGGACUAAUACCGCAUACGCUCUACGGAGGAAAGCGGGGGAUCUUCGGACCUCGCGCUAUGAGAUGAGCCCAUGUCCGAUUAGCUUGUUGGUGGGGUAAUGGCCUACCAAGGCGACGAUCGGUAGCUGGUCUGAGAGGAUGAUCAGCCACAUCGGGACUGAGACACGGCCCGAACUCCUACGGGAGGCAGCAAUUAGGAAUCUUGCGCAAUGGGGGCAACCCUGACGCAGCGACGCCGCAUGAGGGAGGAAGGCCUUCGGGUCGUAAACCUCUUUUAACGGGGAAGAGGAACGUGACGGUACCCGUUGAAUAAGCCCCGGCUAACUACGUGCCAGCAGCCGCGGUAAUACGUAGGGGGCGAGCGUUGUCCGAAGUUACUGGGCGUAAAGCGCGCGUAGGCGGCCACUCAAGUCUGGGGUGGAAGGUUCAACGCUCAACGUGAACAGUGCCUUGGAUACUGGGUGGCUUGAGGACGGAAGAGGAAAGCGGAAUUCCGGGUGUAGCGGUGAAAUGCGUAGAUAUCCGGAGGAACACCGAUGGCGAAGGCAGCUUUCUGGUCCGUAUCUGACGCUGAGGUGCGAAAGCGUGGGGAGCGAACGGGAUUAGAUACCCCGGUAGUCCACGCCGUAAACGAUGAGUGCUAGGUGUCGGGGGUAUCGACCCCCUCGGUGCCGCAGUUAACACAGUAAGCACUCCGCCC